rnacentral:miRNA from 3 species
CUAAACCCGUUUGUUAUCCUUG